rnacentral:rRNA from 1 species
AUUGAACGCUGGCGGCAUGCUUUACACAUGCAAGUCGAACGGCAGCGCGGGCUUCGGCCUGGCGGCGAGUGGCGAACGGGUGAGUAAUGCAUCGGAACGUGCCCAGUAGUGGGGGAUAGCCCGGCGAAAGCCGGAUUAAUACCGCAUACGACCUGAGGGUGAAAGCGGGGGACCGAAAGGCCUCGCGCUAUUGGAGCGGCCGAUGUCGGAUUAGCUAGUUGGUGGGGUAAAGGCUUACCAAGGCGACGAUCCGUAGCUGGUCUGAGAGGACGACCAGCCACACUGGGACUGAGACACGGCCCAGACUCCUACGGGAGGCAGCAGUGGGGAAUUUUGGACAAUGGGGGCAACCCUGAUCAAGCCAUGCCGCGUGAGGGAAGAAGGCCUUCGGGUUGUAAACCGCUUUUGUUCGGGAAGAAAUCCUCUGGGCUAAUACCCCGGGGGGAUGACGGUACCGGAAGAAUAAGCACCGGCUAACUACGUG